UCACCUUGCACAUCCAUUUUCUCACGAUUGGAAGUUCUCUCUCUCUCACAAUCACACGUCGGCGUAGACAUUUGUUGACCGUCGGGUUUUCGCCAUUUACCGUUGCUGUGCUACACCAUCGCCUCUUGAUUCUGGCUCGAUAUCAGAGCACAUUGAAGAUGCCACUGUCUACUUAGAUGCAGGAUGUACAGAGAGUUUCGAGUUUCUUGGGGCAUACCCUCUGCUACUAGAAGUUGGAGCACAUGCUGUUUGCAGCUUGGAAAACAUGUCUUCUCUUGAUAUGGUGAGAGAGGUUUAAUUGUGUGAAUAUUCACUAUGUUGGCUGUCAGAUGUGUUAUUAACUUUUAAUUGUAUUUUAUUUUAUAUUUAUAUUUUCCAUGUUGAAGCUUUCCGAACAGAAAGAAUGCAUAACUGCAUAUAAGGAGUAGAUGUUUGACAAUUCUUUUGGAAAUUGGAAUUAUAAAAGCAAGGGAGAAUAUUAUUUAGUUAAAUGUGGUUGUUUUUUUUAUGCUGGAUUGCAUCUGAAUAGGGACUGAGAGUAGGAACAGAUCCUGCUUCCAGCCCCAAUCCAUGACACCUAGUUGGAACAGACAGCUGAGCAUUUGUCUUCACACUGCCAUACAUAGCCACAGGUACAUGGUUUGUUUGGUUCAUCUGUCUCUUAAAGUGCCAGACUAUUCUAUUGUUGCACAAAAAAAGAAAAAAAAAAUGUACACCAUGUUUAGUCCUGCGUUGGAAUUUUGAAAAAAAGAGUAAAUUACACUGUUGUCCCUUGAACUAAACCAUUUUGUAUUUAUUCUUUCCACUGCAAUGUGUGUGAAAUUUGGUUGACCUGUAGGUUCCAUGUGUUACAUGUCUGGGUCUAUACAAAUGGAGAAUGUGUACGUCCUCAAAAAUGAAGCAGGCAUGUGGCAGUGGCUAUUUGGCAAGAGUAUGACUAGCAUAAUUCUUCUCAAUAUCGGUUCAAGUGAUGGAUUUGCCGGAAUUACUGCUCCUUUAGCCAGAAUUCUCCCAAUUCGGAUCAUGCCAAAUUUUGGGUUAUUAGUUUCUUUUUUUGGUUCUAACUCUUGGUAUUUGAUCAUGACUGUGAAUUCAUCUCAUAUGUCACCAACUUGGUUUCUUUUUAUGUUAUUUGAUUUGAAUUAUCUUAUUUUUACUUAUCAAAAUAAUUGAACUUUAUUUUGUAGAUUGAUUUAGCAAUGUUUGGUGGUGAACUAUUGUGUCAGGAACAAUCACUAACUAAUGUGAAUAAUAGGAUGCAAAUGAAAACAAAACAUAGAUGUAGAUCAAAAUCAAUCCCGAUAAUUGCAAAUGGAAAAGUGCCCGAAUUGGCAGAAUUUUACAAG